AUUCUGCUUUCGCCCUCAUCCUACCGCAUUCACUCCCAGAACAUUUCCUCGAGAAAGAGUUAUAGAUUGAAAAGCUCCUGGCUAUCUUCACCCUCUAUGGCUCCUUCAUGAUGGCCCCCUAAUCUCUGCCAGUGUAGUUCCAUGUAUGCAUUGCAAGGCGGCUGUGUAAUCAAGCCUGUGAACUCAACAUCUGAAGGAAGGAUUCUGUUUCUGAUCACAUCCCUAUUGAAGUCCAUCCAUUCACUGAACAUGGAUGCGCUGACUCACUCAAGCUUGCCC